GGGAAUAUAGCUCAGUUGGUAAAGCACUUGCCUAGCAUGCAAGAAUCCCUGGGUUCAAUUCCUAGCACUGCUU
rfam:Mesocricetus auratus contig006445, whole genome shotgun sequence.